rnacentral:piRNA from 1 species
UUGCUUAAAUUACACGCUGGUCACGCCUU